rnacentral:lncRNA from 10 species
CCGGGAGUUACACACCAACGAAUUUCUAAAGAAAGCCUAACAAAAAGGCAAAUAAAGCAAGAGGAUUCUCACAGACUCACUGCUGCAGGGCUUUAAAAUCUCAGCCUCAUCUAUUGAACACUAGCCCAGCUUCCCUCAACCCCUCAAAGCAGCAAGAUUUAUGCAAGCCUCCUGUGACAGCAGAGCUUCUGUCCCAUCAGUAGCCUUAUCAAAUCUGUCCUAUAGCCCCAUCAGACCUGAGCGAACACCUGCUUUCCAGGUGCAAGACCAUAGAGGCUGAGAAGGAAGAGAAGUCAGCAACAGAAAUAACCUCACUAACAGCAAGACCCCCAGAGAAGCUAAAAACAUUCCAGGCAGGGCUCACAACAGCUCUCAGAGCAGAAUUCCCAAGGCAUCACUUAUGGUUUCUACAAGAGCUUUUGCCUUGCUGUUCCUUCCCCUACAUGCGACCUUUCAGCCCCAGUGAGUCCAGAGGCUUUCUGCAGAGAGAACUGAGUCAGACUGUGAAGAAGAGGCUUUGGGCAGCUAAGAGCUCCAAAGCAGAGGAAGGAUGAAGGGUGGCUGCCAACCCCACUGCUUUGUGGAAGUUCCACACCUUGCUGAGGACACCUCAUGCCUCUCAUAGGAUCCUGACCUGCUGACGUACAGACAGAAUAUGUGAGAAAUACAGGAAUGAUAUAUCCCAGAUCAAACUGCUUCUUAAGCUCGUGUUAUGGAAGAAAAAGACAUAUGCAACAUAAUGGCAGCUCACUGCAGCUGAAGUAAUAUAAUGGCAGACCAACUUGGACCAGCCUAGAGAAAAC